rnacentral:misc_RNA from 1 species
GAUGAAGAACGUAGCGAAAUGCGAUAAGUAAUGCGAAUUGCAGAAUUCAGUGAAUCAUCGAAUCUUUGAACGCACAUUGCGCCCGCUAGUAUUCUGGCGGGCAUGCCUGUCUGAGCGUCAUUUCAACCCUCGCCCCCGGCUUUUGCUGGGAGCGGUGUUGGGGAUCGGCCGCCCGUCACUGGGAGGCCGGCCCCGAAAUAGAGUGGCGACCACGCCGUGUGCUCCUCUGCGUAGUAGUAAAUCACCUCGCAGGCGGCCAGCGGUGCGGCCUGCCGUAAAACCCCCAACUCUUUCUGGUUGACCUCAGAUCAGGUAGGAAUACCCGCUGAACUUAAGCAUAUCAAUAAGCGGAGGA